GCCCUCUCAGGAUCACACCUAGAGAGUUUCCAGUACUCUACCAGUCUCGGACAAGGGAGGGGGAGUCAAGCAGAACAUAACCAUUCCAUUCCUAGCUUGGUCAGUGACUAGCGAAUGGAAGGCAAUUUGCUACAAGU